CAGAGCCUCUACAGCCUCCUCUCUCAACCAGCCCACAGAACACAGGACACAGCCAAUACACCAGCACAGAAGGGGGCAGAGAGAGAGAGAGAGGGAUGGAGAGAGAGAGAGAGAGGGAUGGAAAGAGAGAGAGAUGGAGAGGGGAUAGAGAUAAAUAUAGAACCUAGAGAAGGAGAGGAUGAGAGAGAGGAAGGGAAGUGGAGGUAGAGAGAUGGAUAAAGAGAGAGGGAUAGAGAGAUGGAGAGAGAGGGAUGGAGAGGGGAUAGAGAUAAAGAUAAAAGGUAGAAAAGGAGAGGAUGAGAGAGAGGAAGGGAAGUGGAGGUAGAGAGAUGGAUAAAGAGGGAGAGAAAGAGAGAGGGAUAGAGAGAGAGAGGAAGGGAAGUAGAGGUAGAGAGAUGUGGAUUGUGAGGGGGCAGAGAGAGAGAGAGAGAGCCAGAGAGAGAGAGGGAUAGAGAGGGGACACAAAUAAAGAUAGAAGGUAGAGAAGGAGAAGAGAGAGAGGAAGGGAAGUGGAGGUAGAGAGAUGGAGAGAGGGAUAGAGAGAUGGAGAGAGAGGGAUAGAGAGGGGAUACAGAUGAAGAUAGAAGGUAGAGAAGGAGAAGAGAGAGAGGAAGGG
ensembl:lncRNA